AGUGAACGCUGGCGGUAGGCCUAACACAUGCAAGUCGAACGGCAGCACAGUAAGAGCUUGCUCUUACGGGUGGCGAGUGGCGGACGGGUGAGGAAUACAUCGGAAUCUACUUUUUCGUGGGGGAUAACGUAGGGAAACUUACGCUAAUACCGCAUACGACCCACGGGUGAAAGCAGGGGAUCUUCGGACCUUGCGCGAUUGAAUGAGCCGAUGUCGGAUUAGCUAGUUGGCGGGGUAAAGGCCCACCAAGGCGACGAUCCGUAGCUGGUCUGAGAGGAUGAUCAGCCACACUGGAACUGAGACACGGUCCAGACUCCUACGGGAGGCAGCAGUGGGGAAUAUUGGACAAUGGGCGCAAGCCUGAUCCAGCCAUACCGCGUGGGUGAAGAAGGCCUUCGGGUUGUAAAGCCCUUUUGUUGGGAAAGAAAAGCAGCAGGUUAAUACCCCGCUAUUCUGACGGUACCCAAAGAAUAAGCACCGGCUAACUUCGUG
rnacentral:rRNA from 1 species